GCGAGGCAAUGGGCUCGUAUACGUUGAGAUCGCAACCGAGACCCCCGAAUAAAGGUACAAAUUAAGCUUAGCUGGUGUGAGUGCAGUGCAACUGACUUUGCUGCCGAUGGAUAUGACAAUUCAGACAUGGGCAUGAAAGCUCGGUGCCAAACUACGCCACUUGCCCUUAUUAUGCUGCAAUAACUGUGGAGGAGACUCGGUGCUGUCCUGGUAGAAGAAGCCAAGAAGUAGAGUAAAACCAUGGUCAUGGCGACGCCUCAUCAGACGAUCAAGGAAGGUUCUGUCCUUUAUGAUAUUACGCCAAGACUUGCACGUUGAAGCAAGGUGGGCUAGGGAGCCAGGAUCACUAAUAUGAGACAGGAUCUUCAAUCUUGUCGGUCAUUUCUUCCGGAAGCUGCAGCAUCGCGCCAUUCUCCAUGAUCGUUUCCUGCAAAGAAAAGAUGGGAGCCAAUUUUGUUUAGAACACCACCAAAAGAAGACUGUCCGUAGCCGUAGGCCUGCACAGUUUUGCUGCUGCCGGACUUGUGCCCACAUGCGCACAGUAGGUUUGAUAUCUAUGUUCAGCAAUGAUCCUAGUGUUCGUUCUCAUUCCAUAAGCCUAACCCUAGCGAUCGUUGCCUA
rnacentral:lncRNA from 1 species